rnacentral:rRNA from 1 species
ACGCUGGCGGCGUGCCUAAUACAUGCAAGUAGAACGCUGAAGAGAGGAGCUUGCUCUUCUUGGAUGAGUUGCGAACGGGUGAGUAACGCGUAGGCAACCUGCCUUGUAGCGGGGGAUAACUAUUGGAAACGAUAGCUAAUACCGCAUAACAAUAGGUGACACAUGUCAUUUAUUUGAAAGGGGCAAUUGCUCCACUACAAGAUGGACCUGCGUUGUAUUAGCUAGUAGGUGAGGUAACGGCUCACCUAGGCGACGAUACAUAGCCGACCUGAGAGGGUGAUCGGCCACACUGGGACUGAGACACGGCCCAGACUCCUACGGGAGGCAGCAGUAGGGAAUCUUCGGCAAUGGGGGCAACCCUGACCGAGCAACGCCGCGUGAGUGAAGAAGGUUUUCGGAUCGUAAAGCUCUGUUGUAAGUCAAGAACGAGUGUGAGAGUGGAAAGUUCACACUGUGACGGUAGCUUACCAGAAAGGGACGGCUAACUACGUGCCAGCAGCCGCGGUAAUACGUAGGUCCCGAGCGUUGUCCGGAUUUAUUGGGCGUAAAGCGAGCGCAGGCGGUUUGAUAAGUCUGAAGUUAAAGGCUGUGGCUCAACCAUAGUUCGCUUUGGAAACUGUCAAACUUGAGUGCAGAAGGGGAGAGUGGAAUUCCAUGUGUAGCGGUGAAAUGCGUAGAUAUAUGGAGGAACACCGGUGGCGAAAGCGGCUCUCUGGUCUGUAACUGACGCUGAGGCUCGAAAGCGUGGGGAGCGAACAGGAUUAGAUACCCUGGUAGUCCACGCCGUAAACGAUGAGUGCUAGGUGUUGGAUCCUUUCCGGGAUUCAGUGCCGCAGCUAACGCAUUAAGCACUCCGCCUGGGGAGUACGACCGCAAGGUUGAAACUCAAAGGAAUUGACGGGGGCCCGCA